AACGGCCGCGGUAUUCUGACCGUGCAAAGGUAGCGCAAUCAAUUGUCUUUUAAAUGAAGGCCCGUAUGAAUGGCAUAACGAGGGCUUAACUGUCUCCUUUUUCUAAUCAAUGAAAUUGAUCUUCCCGUGCAGAAGCGGGAAUUUUUACAUAAGACGAGAAGACCCUAUGGAGCUUAUAAACGCAAGAGCAGACUAAUACUAUUAAAUUUAGUUUAACUAAAUUUAUAAACCCGUUAACUACUGCUCGAGUGUUUUUGGUUGGGGCGACCACGGAGUAAAACUUAACCUCCACGCAGAACAAAAAUACUCAUUUUUUAAUUUAAGGGCUACAGCCCUAAAAUCCAGAACCUCUGACUUUUAUUGAUCCGGCAAAGCCGAUUAACGAACCGAGUUACCCUAGGGAUAACAGCGCAAUCCUCUUUUAGAGGUCCUAUCGACAAGAGGGUUUACGACCUCGAUGUUGGACCAGGACAUCCUAUU
rnacentral:rRNA from 1 species